UACCAUUAAGAUGCUAAAUGUAAGUGUAGC
rnacentral:piRNA from 1 species